CAUGCAUGUUUAAGUUUAAGCACAAAUACUGUGAAACCGCGGACGGCUCAUUAUAUCAGUAAUAAUCUACUACACAAACCAGUUGGAUCGGAUAACUGCGGAAAAUCUGGAGCUAAUACGUGUACAGUGAGCCCUCGAGAGAGGGAGACGCAAUAGCCUUUAAUGCUUCGACGGGAUCUCCCGUGUAGCGAACCAAAGUUAUAGUAAAGCGCAUGGCCUGAGUGUGUGGCGCGCUGUGUAAUGAAUUUCUGACCCAUCAACUUGUUGGUAGUGUAGUGGACUACCAAGGUGAUAACGGGUAACGGGGAAUUAGGGUUUGAUUCCGGAGAGGGCGCCUGAGAGACGGCACCUACUUCUAAGGAAGGCAGCAGGCGCGCAAAUUACCCAAUUCUAGUAAAGAGAGGUAGUGACAAGGAAUAACAAUGUAGUGCCUGAAUAAGGUGUUAUAAUUGGAAUGAGUUGGGGAGUAAAAUCCCCUUCGAGUAUCAAUUGGAGGACAAGUCUGGUGCCAGCACCCGCGGUAAUUCCAGCUCCAAGAGCAUAUAUUAAAGUUGCUGCAGUUAAACGCCCGUAGCCUUAGUCAUGGCCGGAACUCGAUAGUCUUUACCCCUCUGGGGAAUCGAUUGCUUGUGCUUGUCAUAUUUAGGUGGAGACCUUCCUGGGCUUAACUGACUAGGAGAUUGGAGCCAUCAUUUUACUGUGAAUAAAUCAAACCGCCUAAGGGAGGUUGUAUACUGUGAAUGUUUAGCAUGGCAUGAUAGAAUAUGGUGCUUCAGACGCUCGAAGCCGUACUGGGGUACAAUGAUAAAUGGGAAGGAACGGGGAGGUCCUUAUUUUGAGAGAAGAGGUGAAAUUCUAUGAUUCUUGAAAGAAGAACAACAGCGAAAGCAGUCCUCCAGAACCUAUCCAUCGGUCAAGGACGAAAGUUUGGGGAUCGAAGACGAUCAGAUACCGUCGUAGUCCAAACUAUAAACGAUGUCAUCUAACGAUUUUGGGGAGUUAAUAUUUACGACCCUUAGAGUAUUUUGUAAGAAAUUACAAGCGCAUGGACUCUGGGGGGAGUAUGGUCGCAAGGCUGAAACUUAAAAGAAUUGACGGAAGAUCACCACCAGGAGUGGAACCUGCGGCUUAAUUUGACUCAACACGGGAAAGCUCACCAGGUCCGGACACUUGGAUGAUUGACAGAUUGACAGCUCUUUCUUGAUUAGGUGGGUGGUGGUGCAUGCCCGUUCUUAGUUGGUGAGUGAUUUGUCUGGUUUAUUCCGAUAACGAACGAGAUCUUAGUUUAUUAAAUAGUGGUUGUGUUACUCUAUGUGGGUGAAGUGUGUUGGAAUGCGGUCUCUUUAACCGGGGGCUGUAGGCUGGCAUAUGGAUCUUUGAGGCAAACGCAGUCAUCUUCUUAGAAAGACUACCUAUGGUAAAUGGGGGGAAGCUUAAGGCAAUAACAGGUCUGUGAUGCCCUUAGAUGUUCUGGGCUGCACGCGCGUUACACUGAUAGUACAAUCGAGCAAGUUUUCCUUGGCUGUUAAGUCUGGGGAAUCUUUUAGAUGGUAUCGUGCUGGGGACAAAUGAUUGUAAUUAUUUAUUUCUAACGAGGAAUUCCUAGUAAGCGCAGGUCAUCAACCUGCGCUGAUUACGUCCCUGGUCUUUGUACACACCGCCCGUCGCUCCUACCGAUUGAGUCCUCCGGUGAAAUCUUCGGACAUAAAUGUCUCUAUAGGGAAACCUAUAUGCAAUUGCGAAAGUUGAGUGAACCACAGGAUUUAGAGGAAGGAGAAGUCGUAA
rnacentral:rRNA from 1 species